UGGAUUUGGGAUAUUUAUUUGGAAAUUGAAAACGCCAUCAGGCUCCAAAAAUUGAUUACCGGUAGUAAAUGCUCCGAGUGGUUCCAAAACCUUUUU